rnacentral:rRNA from 1 species
AGUGAACGCUGGCGGUAGGCCUAACACAUGCAAGUCGAACGGCAGCACAGUAAGAGCUUGCUCUUACGGGUGGCGAGUGGCGGACGGGUGAGGAAUACAUCGGAAUCUACUUUUUCGUGGGGGAUAACGUAGGGAAACUUACGCUAAUACCGCAUACGACCUACGGGUGAAAGCAGGGGAUCUUCGGACCUUGCGCGAUUGAAUGAGCCGAUGUCGGAUUAGCUAGUUGGCGGGGUUAAGGCCCACCAAGGCGACGAUCCGUAGCUGGUCUGAGAGGAUGAUCAGCCACACUGGAGCUGAGACACGGUCCAGACUCCUACGGGAGGCAGCAGUGGGGAAUAUUGGACAAUGGGCGCAAGCCUGGUCCAGCCAUACCGCGUGGGUGAAGAAGGCCUUCGGGUUGUAAAGCCCUUUUGUUGGGAAAGAAAAGCAGCAGGUUAAUACCCCGCUGUUCUGACGGUACCCAAAGAAUAAGCACCGGCUAACUUCGUG